rnacentral:rRNA from 1 species
AGAGUUUGAUCCUGGCUCAGGAUGAACGCUGGCGGCAUGCCUAAUACAUGCAAGUCGAACGAGAGGAAGGAAAGCUUGCUUUUCUGAAUCUAGUGGCGAACGGGUGAGUAACACGUAGGUAACCUGCCCAUGUGCCCGGGAUAACUUCUGGAAACGGAUGCUAAAACCGGAUAGGUAGCAGACAAGCAUUUGACUGCUAUUAAAGUGGCUUUGGCCAUGAACAUGGAUGGACCUGCGGUGCAUUAGCUGGUUGGUGAGGUAACGGCCCACCAAGGCGACGAUGCAUAGCCGGCCUGAGAGGGCGGACGGCCACAUUGGGACUGAGACACGGCCCAAACUCCUACGGGAGGCAGCAGUAGGGAAUUUUCGUCAAUGGGGGGAACCCUGAACGAGCAAUGCCGCGUGAGUGAGGAAGGUCUUCGGAUCGUAAAGCUCUGUUGUAAGAGAAAAACGGCACUCAUAGGGAAUGAUGAGUGAGUGAUGGUAUCUUACCAGAAAGUCACGGCUAACUACGUGCCAGCAGCCGCGGUAAUACGUAGGUGGCGAGCGUUAUCCGGAAUGAUUGGGCGUAAAGGGUGCGUAGGUGGCAGAUCAAGUCUGGAGUAAAAGGUAUGGGCUCAACCCGUACUGGCUCUGGAAACUGAUCAGCUAGAGAACAGAAGAGGACGGCGGAACUCCAUGUGUAGCGGUAAAAUGCGUAGAUAUAUGGAAGAACACCGGUGGCGAAGGCGGCCGUCUGGUCUGGAUUCUGACACUGAAGCACGAAAGCGUGGGGAGCAAAUAGGAUUAGAUACCCUAGUAGUCCACGCCGUAAACGAUGAGAACUAGGUGUUGGGGGAAUAACUCAGUGCCGCAGUUAACGCAGUAAGUUCUCCGCCUGGGGAGUAUGCACGCAAGUGUGAAACUCAAAGGAAUUGACGGGGGCCCGCACAAGCGGUGGAGUAUGUGGUUUAAUUCGAAGCAACGCGAAGAACCUUACCAGGCCUUGACAUCCCUUGCAGAGGUAUAGAGAUAUAUCCGAGGUUAUCAAGGAGACAGGUGGUGCAUGGUUGUCGUCAGCUCGUGUCGUGAGAUGUUGGGUU